rnacentral:rRNA from 1 species
UACGUAGGGACCAAGCGUUGUUCGGAUUUACUGGGCGUAAAGGGCGCGUAGGCGGCAAAUCAAGUCAGCUGUGAAAUCUCCGAGCUUAACUCGGAACGGUCAGCUGAUACUGUCUUGCUAGAGUACAGAAGGGGCAAUCGGAAUUCUUGGUGUAGCGGUGAAAUGCGUAGAUAUCAAGAGGAACACCUGAGGUGAAGACGGGUUGCUGGGCUGAUACUGACGCUGAGGCGCGAAAGCUAGGGUAGCAAACGGG